UCCGGGAGGCACUUGGCCAUGUCGAGACGCCUGAUUUUGUUCCCUGGCGAGCAGAGGAGACACCGCGAUCGAAAUUUUACUCGGUUACCUCCCAGCUCUAAAAGUUGUCUCCAUCUGGUUUCCUGGAACUUCCUGUCCAGAAGCAUCUCUCACCGCAGUGGCCUGACCUCCAUGGCCAUGCAGAGGACCUUGCAGGACCCGUCAUCAAGCCAGUGGACAAUGUGACACAGGACCAACCUUCAGCUCUAGUGUCAUUGAAAGCUGUGCCCAUUUCUAGUCGAUAUAUGGUUCCUUUCAUUUUUAACUGCACUCAGCUCAUUCAAAUUAAAUGUGUGUGUGCUUGCUGACAGGUUUAAAACAAAGAGGGAAGGUUGUGGUGUUAAUGCCAUUUUCAUGAGAAGUCUUUAUGGCUCUAUCCUAAUUCCUGUUUCUUUAAUCAAUGAAUUAGUGGUGACCAAAAAGGAUAAUGAAGAAUUCUGGAAUAGGUUGCCCUCUGUGAGUUAAACUAAUGAAAUUCACUGUGUGGGUAGGUUUGGCCACUUAUGGAUAGAGGAGACGGGAAGGAGGAAAUGUGUGACUCAAGAGUUUAGGAAAAUUCCAGAUGCAGGUAAGAUGCUGGUUGAGAGAGGCAGGGCUGAAAUAAAAUAAAAAUAAAAUCUAUGACUCAGGAAGCUAAGAUCUAACCUCGCAAGCAAUACUCUGAAGAAACUUUGCAGCACUGAACUCAGAAUGCA
rnacentral:lncRNA from 1 species